UACAGAAAUGGUGUUACCUUAAAUAUCAGCAUUUCUUUAUUAAAGCUCUUAAAACUGUGUGUUCAUUUUUACAGCAUUUUUUAAAUGAAUGAGACUGGGAAAUGUUUUGUCAUGUUUUUAGCAAAGUGAGCACAUAAAGUAAACAUGUCUUCCAAAAUUUUUAACAAAACUUAUUAAAUACUUCAUUUCUUAAAUCACUGUGUCUAUAGACAGCUAACAAUUUUAUGGUUAGAAGUUUAAACUGUGUAUCUGACUGUGAAUUUACUAAUUUCCACUAAGAUGUUUCUCUUGCAGGGGAAUCUUUCAUUGAGAUGAUUGAAAUCGCUGCAGUGAGAAUGGAAAUUACUUGGGCUCCUUUUCUUUUAAAAGCUGCAUGCAAGAACUGUGGUGCUCACAGUUCAAGUUUAUGCAUCAUAUAGAUGUUUUAAAAAGAGGAAAAAAAGCUUAUCUGCACUGGGGACUUGUUUUGACUUCAGGCUUCGCAGGUCUGCUACUGGUGCAGUUGCACAGGUAUGAACAUGACAUAGAUGAAUAUGAAUCCAAGUUGUUAUAAUUCAUAAAUAUGCAUCAUUUUACCAUGUAGAAUUUCAGCCUGGUGUAUGUACUGGUAAAAAUCAUGCUUUUUUUUUUUUCUGCCCCAGUUAUGCAUUUGAACUGGUGAAAUUACUGAUGGCUAAAACUUCAGACCUGAGCAGUAUUAGGUAGUUUACAGCUUUUCAUAAAGUAAACACUUUCACGUUUAGCUACUACAGGUCUUUUAAGAUAUGUGGCCAAAAUGAGGUUGACUACUCAGAAAAAAUAAGUUAUAUGGCUCAAAGUUGGAUGGCUUUCUCACUGAGGCUUCGUUAAGUAGCACUAUGUUAUAUUUGCUUAUCUGUAACUGCUUAAUACUAAGAUGCUGCACGUACAUUUCAGCCAUUUGAAAACUUAGAAACGCUUGGAAAGACUAAACCUGGUGGGUUAUAAAAGAAAAAGGCAUUAUUCUUCUGCUAUUCCCCUGCCUUUAAAAGGUCACUGAUUUUUGUUAGCACGCUGCAGACUGUGGUGCUUGCAGAGGGCCAUCCAUCCUGUUACUCUUGUAGAUACAGUAUUUUAAUGUAUCUAGGCUUUUUUUCCGUGACUUCUGUGAGUAAAUAUGAAUCUAAAGAGCUCAUCAGAAAACCAAUGGCCAAACCAUUUGUUCAUGACUAUUUCUUUGUGCCAGCGCAGGCCUUUGUGCGGACAGUGAAACAGGGUGCUUCCUCCUGGUUCACCCUGCAAACCCCUGUAACUGGCCCAAGGCAGGGGAUGGCGGGGAAUGGGAAGAAGCAGAAAAGGAAAGGUUGAACUGCCUUGUUUGGUGGCCAUAGCAGCUUAUAACAGUUCAGUGAUGUGAUGAAAAUACAGUUUGAGCAUUUGCAGAAACAGAGCUCAUCUGAGGAACCAAAGCUCCCAUCUGGAUUAAGAAAAUGGCUUCAAGUGCUUAUGAAAGCCUACUCAUAUUAUUCAGUUCCUAAACCUUUGAAAAAGAAUGUCAUAUUUUUCGCAUGGUUCACGGUUACCUUAAAUAACAUGAGCAAUUGUAUUUUCCGGAGGUUUACCUGCAUGGGUGGUGCCAUAGCCCAUGGCUGAAUGGAACUCCCUCUGCAUUGCAGCUCUGGGGUCCUAAGGAUUGUGUCUGAUGUAAGAAAGGAAGGCUCGCUGUUUUCAGUUCAGGUGCUUAUUUUCUGCUAGGCUUAGGAGCUGUACGGAGAAAAGAUGCUUAAUUCAUAUAAAAGGGAAAGCAAAGAUAGGCCUGCUUGAAAAUAAACUGAGACUAGUAGCUGUAAAGGAGUGAAGGCAACUAGUGAGAGGAGCAUGUCUAAAAACGUAAUGUGGAAAGGUUACAGCUGAGAACUGAUAGAGGAAGGACGGCUCUGAUGAACUGGAAGGAUUGGGAUAGGUUGGGCAAAGAUUUGGGGGGGGUUGUUUGUUUCUUGAAAUUGUAAGAAGCAGCAGCCUGACAGAAGGAAUGUGGCCUGAGGCAAAGAGAAUGAGUCAGACUUGGGAGAAGGGGCUUGCACACCUCGGGUCAUUCCUAACAUUGACUAGAGCGCUCUGCACUUCAGAUCCAGAAGGGAAUGUAGACUAUUAGGUAGCAGCUUUUGUUGUCAUCUGUGAAAUCAUUGUCUAUUUCAUCCCCCUCAUCAUAUUCCACACAGAAGAGGGCAGCCUUAUUAGUGCUCUCAUCUACUUCAUGAAGUUUGGCCCUGAAAAGGGUACUGGUGGGUGAAAAGCUGGACAUGAGCCGACAAUGUGUGCUCGCAGCCCAAAAGGCCAAUUGUAUCCUGGGCUGCAUCAAAAGAAGUGUGGCCAGCAGGUCAAGGGAGGUGAUUCUGCCCCUCUACUCCACUCUGGUUAGACCCCACCUGGAGUACUGCGUCCAGCUCUGGAGCUCCCAGCUUAAGAAGGAGAUGGACCUGUUAGAGCACAUACAGAGGAUGCCCACAAAAGUGAUCAGAGGGCUGGAGAGCCUCUCCUGUGAAGACAGGCUGAGACAGUUUGGGUUGUUCAGCCUGGAGAAGAGAAGGCGCUGGGGAGACCUUAUUGCAGCCUUCCAGUACCGAAAAGGGGCCUGCAGGAAAGAGAGGGACAAACUUUUUAGCAGGGCUUGUUGUGAUAGGACAAGGGGUGAUGGCUUUAAACUAAAAGAGGGGAGAUUUAGACUAGAUAGAAGAAAGAAAUUCUUCACAAUGAGGGUGGUGAAAUACUGGCACAGGUUACCCAAGGAGGUGGUAGAUGCCUUAUCCCUGGAAACACUCAGGGUCAGGUUGGAUAUGGCUCUGAGCAGCCUGAUGUAGCUGAAGAUGUGCCUGCUAAUUGCAGGGGAGGCUGGACUGGAUGGCCUUUAAAGGUCCCUUCCAACCCAAUCUAGUCCAUGAUUCUAUGAAAAGGAAUCCCAAAAUAACAGACUAGUUGAGGUUGGAAGGGACCCCUGAAGAUUAUCUAGUCCAAGCAGGGUGAGGUAGAGCAGGUUGUUUAGGGCUGUGCCCAGUCAGGUUUUAAAUACCUUCAAGGAUGGAGACUCUGCAACCUCUCCUGUUCAGAUAGAAUCUCUUGCAUUUCAUUCUGUGCCUGUUGCCUCCUGUCCUGUCACUGGACACAACUGAGAGGAGCCUGGCUAUGUCUUCUUUACUCUCCCUUACCCCCAUCAGCAGGCAUUUAUAAACUUUGAUAAGAUCACACACAGACAAGCUUUUUCCUCUCCAGGCUGUAGUCCCAGCCCUCUCAGCCUUUCUUCAUGUGAAAGAUCAUCUUUCUGGAAGUAAAUAAAAUGUUUCAACUAAUAUGGGAAUUGAAACUCAAAGGGGGAAAUGCUUUUGGGGGUAAAAGAACAAAACACAACCUAAGAACUUAACUGUAAAAACUGUAAACAAGAAUAUGAAGAUCACAAAAUGAAACACUAAGAAGUUAGAUAACUCCAGCUUAAAGAUUCUGCGAUCUUCAUUUGCCCCCUUGUGUUAGAGUGCUAUGAAGCAAUCUUCAUGAUCGUAUAGAGUAUUUAAUCUAAUGACAGUAUUGGCCUGGUGUGGUUCUGAGCUAGGGAAGAUGUUUGUGGGGCUGUGCAAGCAAGAAGCCUGAUGCUGCUGUAGGUGCUGCAGAAAUUGGUAGAAAAUUCUGUAGGAAAUGGAAUAAAAGACUGCAAGUAGAGGAAACCAUGUCUUCAUGGUUAUGUCAAAUGACAAGUCCUAAGAAUCGGACGUGAUGUUUAUUUUUCUGCCGCCUUCUGGGGUGAUAAACAAGUUACCAGGCCCUUGUUUUCAUGCUACUUGUAUUCCUCACUUCAGAGGCGUUUGAUUAAACACUGGCUGUUCACAUUUGCAGCUGAGCUUCUUAGGAGUUGUCAUUUGAAUUAAAAUACUAUGUAAUGUUAUGUCUGUUGACAGUCUUGUCUCUUCAACAGGGUACCUCAAACUGUUGCAUACUACUAUAGUUCCUACACCUCCAUGUCACAUUUAAAAUAGGGGUAAUAGACACCUCGAAGGGCUGUUGGUUUUUUGUUUGUUUAAAAAAAAAGACCCAACACUUUUGUUUAGUAGCUGUACUACAGUAAUGCAUUUCCUCAUGGAUUUUUCUGUGGCAAUUAUUGAAUUUGAUCUCAGAGGAAGAGGUAAGUAUUGUGCAUCUCUUAAAGACCAAAUCUGCAAUCAACUGUCCUUGUUACCAGCUCAAGCCAAGAAACCGAGUUUCCACGUUGUUGAUUUAUGGUCUGUUCAACCAGUCCUGUGAAUUCCAAAAUACUCUGAUUUGUGUCCUACGUUGUCACUGGUUCAUUUUCCAUAUAUAGCUAUUAUUAUUAAACACUUGUUUGUCCCAUUUUUGCCAUGUGGCUUCAUGAGUAACACCUUCGAUAUUCUGCAGGAUCUUUCAUAUGCUAAAGGUAAUGUUCAUGUUUGAACUUCAGAGUAUUUUAGAAUAGAUUUACCCAUAAAGCUCUAUGUUGCAGAAAGAAUGAACUAGUUAAACUGUAACACUUAAUUUCUUAUGUACAGUGGUGAACAGUGCAUCUUUAAAAAUGUAAAGUGACUUAGACCUUAGAUUUAGGAGUUCUACAGGCCAUUGUUCUUCAUGUUUCAAAAGCAGUUUUCUUGGUCCUGCAUAUGGCACACUUUACUGAGUGAGAGUGGUUCUGUACUUGAUAUUCUGGUAUAGAGAUCUGAAAAUGUUUCAGCUUGUCCCUUAAUCAUGGUAUCUUGUUAAGUGUUGGGGGAAGUCUCUCCUAAUCAGGUAGCAAUACUGGCAGUAAUGAUUGAAAUUUGAAAUGUUUAUAGACUGCUUUGAUGUUCUUCAUCACCACCUCCUGUCAUAGAAGUCACAAGAAAUGAUUGAUAGAAGUAUAUCCGAAGUGGUAUGUCUGUUGGAGCUUCUGCUAUUUAACAAGGCACUAUUUGUGGUUGCAAUGGGUGACCCAAGGAAACUUUCCAGGAAGAACUCUCUGAGGCACAGGAUCUUCUGCUCUGAGAUAAACAAUACAGAGGUGAUCUCGUGCGUCAGUGACUUUACUGUUCUGGGAGUCCACUUGUGUCUUCAAAAGCAGAAGAGAGAGCUCACUGCUCGCCCUAAGAGAACAAGAGGGCUGCCCCCCAGCACUGCGGCACUCGGUUUCUAGCAUCUCAGGCAGUGGAACAGUUCGUACAUUUUUGCUGAAUCCAAGGAAGAAUAAAAAGGCAAAUACAGCAGUAAGUGCACUGAAAUCAACAGAUUUUGCACCUUCCCAGGAAAAAGGAAUUCUCUUGAGAAAGUUGGCAAUGGCUGGAAGAAGCGGAUCGUGUCAGUGAUCACAAAUUCCAACUUCACUGGAAAAAAAAUGUCUAAAUGUUUCAAAAUCCCAUUCCUAUUUAAUCAAAACCAGAGCUAGAUGCGAGCGAUCAGAGCUCCUGGUUCUGUCGUAUGCAAAAGCAGGACCAAGCCACCAACAAUACGCUCUAGUCCAGCAGAGAUCGUAUUGUGAGAUACCAGGGUUGACUGCCUGCCAAGACUUGGGUGAAAGUACUCAGUUUAACACAUAAUCUGUUUUUUUGACCAGAAGGCUUUUAAAAUCCCUCAGACUCGUAGCGAAUCCGGGCUCCCAUCAGACAAAGUCGCUUCUACUCAUACAGCCAUUGUUUUCUGUGGAAACGCACCAGUGUGAACCACUCUGCUGAUGACACGUGACAGAGUCCGCUCUCGGCUGCAUCGCUGCCUGUUUGGGACCUCAGAAGGGAAAGUGCAGUAAAAAUAUAAUGGCCAUUGUUUCUUCUAAAUAACUGCCUCAGUGCCUGCGGGAUGUGCUGCGCACUGCUCCGAAGAGGGCACAGGAAAAUUGCCAUCCUGGUUCAGCAACACUUUUAAAGUAACAUAAACAAUCUCGCAAGGUGGAGGGCAGCAUCUGCUUCAGGCCAGCUGAAGAUCCUCCCAGUAAAUUGAUGCUAUUUAUAUAUUAAUUUUUCUGCAAACGAACAUACUUUCACUCCUUCCUUUGUGAUUACUGACAUUUAGUUGUAGCUUGAAGCUACACCGCCUGUAGCUCUACCAUUGCUGCUUCCACUUUCUGUCUAAAGAAAUCCAGGAAGCUUCUUUCCUUUGGAGAACCAGCUUAAUACCAAAUUAUCUUCAGGUAAAAGUCACGGGCAUCCUAAUGGUUUCAGUCAGACACUUUCACCAGAUUUCUGUCAGGUUACUGACACACACACAGGCUCUCAAACUUAAUUAAGCAACUAUCAGUUAAAAACAACAAACCAAAAGCAUUCUAUAAGAGCCUGGUCAUGUUCCCUGCAGGUGCACAAGUGACAGAAGGCGACACUUCUCAACUCACUGCUAAGUAAGAAUAAAUGCUAGAAGAAUUUUGGGAAUCCAAACUUGCCAACAGUCACAUGCUUCGCUUCCAAAAGAGGCACAGUCUCACAGUACGCCCUUGGACGAGGUGAAGGUAAAGCUCGUAUCAUGGAAUCAUAGAAUCGCGGAAUGGUUCGGGUUGGAAGGGACCUUAAAGGUCACCUAGUUCCAACCCCCUGCCAUGGGCGGGGACACCUCCCACUAGACCAGGCUGCUCAAAGCCCCAUCCAGCCUGUACUUGCACUGCUGUAUUUUUCCAGAGCCAAAAUAUUGCAUUCACUGAUGAUGUUUGUGCUGAAUAAAAAUUAACCCACGGGGGGAAUCAGAAAGUGUUCAGCACUCGCCCGUCCCAAGUUGUUGCUGAAAUGGUUGUACCAAACGUUCAUUUUGCCAAAGCUGUAGAGCAUGACUGAUGGCAUAGGUUAAAACUCCAGGACUUUUCAAAAAUGGAAAUAUUUCUUAUUUUCUUUCACUUUAUUAAAAAAAGAAAAAAAGUAAUCCAAACUUCAAUUUUCAAAGUGGCUGCUAC